rnacentral:rRNA from 1 species
AGAGCGAACGCUGGCGGCAGGCCUAACACAUGCAAGUCGAGCGCCCGUAGCAAUACGGGAGCGGCAGACGGGAGAGUAACACGUGGGAACGCGCCCUUCGGUUCGGAAUAACUCAGGGAAACUUGAGCUAAUACCGGAUACGCCCUUACGGGGAAAGAUUUAUUGCCGAAGGAACGGCCCGCGUCCGAUUAGCUAGUUGGUGAGGUAAUGGCUCACCAAGGCGACGAUCGGUAGCUGGUCUGAGAGGAUGACCAGCCUCACUGGGACUGAGACACGGCCCAGACUCCUACGGGAGGCAGCAGUGGGGAAUAUUGGACAAUGGGCGCAAGCCUGAUCCAGCCAUGCCGCGUGGAUGAUGAAGGCCUUAGGGUUGUAAAGUCCUUUUAACGGGGAAUAUAAUGACGGUACCCGUAGAAUAAGCCCCGGCUAACUUCGCGCCAGCAGCCGC